UACUACUGGCAGGUGGAAGAAGGAGGAAGAUUAAGAAGGAAGAAGGCUCAAAAACUUGCCUGCAAUCUCCUAGGAGGCACCAGAGGGAGCACAACAGAGAAGAGGGAGAGGUCUCACUCUGAUCAAAACCAUGGUGUGAGGAGGGCGGGGCGUGUAACAAUUUUCUCCCUUGUUACAGUCCUGGCAAAAAUCCCUCCUAAAACUGCUGUUUACCUUGGGAGGGGAACUUCCUACUGGAACCAACAGCAUCCCCUAGCCCCCAACCCCAGCCAAAUAGCAGAAGGGGAUUUUUUUGGGAACUGCUACUUGGAGACAAAUAACUAGAGCUCCCCUUCUUCCACACCAUGGUCUCUAUCCAAAUUAGGCCCUCCUAUGGCUGCAAAGCAAGAUGGAAACACAAUAACACUUUUAGUGUUGUGUAGUUUGACCUGAACCAACUUUGUCAUCUUAUUCACUUGUGCAAUUUAUUCUGCUUAUGGGAGUGGAACAACCGUACAGAACACAUCAUUUGUAAAAAGAGAAAACAGAUUAAGAUGGAGGAAAGUCACACAAAAUCAACAAAUGGCUGUAUUCUAAAACUCUAUGCACUCACCAAAACUUCAACAUUGCGAAACUCAUCACAACGGGAUCCCAAGUCUGGAGGCUCAAGCAGCUGAUCAAUACCCUAAAAGAGAUGGUCGAGCCAUGCAGAGUCCUUACAGAACCACCAAGCUCUGUCAGCUUGGAAGCUGUGACCUGAAAACAGAGAAAAAUCAAGCAGCAAGCAGGACAAGCAGUGGGCUUUAUCUCUGAUCCAGGUCAGCUUAUUUAUGGAAGCAUGCUCGACGGGUUCUCUGCUAUCAGCACGUUUGUGAUUUCACAUCUUCACCUCUGUGCGGACAAUAUUGAGCAUUUCGCCAUUGAGGACGUCCACACCCCUUCUGAGACCACGUCUGACACAGUGCUUUUGUCACCUGCCACUUCCAUUUUGAUUUUGAUACUUGACUUUGCCUGUUUCAUCCUGCAGUCCAAUUUUUGCCUGGCUCAGUUACACCUCCUUCCUUAACUUUUGACUGUCAUUGCACAUGCCUUUGUUUAUGUAUUCUGCAUUAUGAGAAGCCAAUUUGUGUACUGUUUAUUAAUGUUAUGGAUCAUUUAUUACUGACUUAUCAUUUUUGAAUAUAUAUUUCCAGUGUUUGUUUAUAUUUUCAUUGUUUGGUCAUUAUUAUCUGCAUUUUUUUGGUUUGUAGUCACGGUGGGAUUUCCCCGUUCCCCUCUUCAUUGUUUCAUUCUGUGACUGCCCCUGUCUAUUGCUUCAAUAAAACAAAGCCAAACUUGAAAGCA